rnacentral:rRNA from 1 species
AGUAGUUUGAUCAGUGGCUCGAGGACGAACGCUGGCGGCGUGCUUAACACAUGCAAGUCGAACGGGAAUUUUUGGAGCUUGCUCUAAAAAUUCUAGUGGCAAACGGGUGAGUAACGCGUAGACAACCUGCCAUAAUGAUGGGGACAACAGCUCGAAAGAGCUGCUAAUACCGAAUGUUGCUAAACUUUCGCAUGGAAGUUUAGUUAAAGAUGGCCUCUACUUGUAAGCUAUCGCAUUAUGAUGGGUCUGCGUCCGAUUAACUGGUUGGUGAGGUAACGGCUCACCAAGGCGACGAUCGGUAGCCGAUCUGAGAGGAUGACCGGCCACAUUGGGACUGAGACACGGCCCAGACUCC